rnacentral:rRNA from 1 species
GAUGAACGCUGGCGGCGUGCCUAACACAUGCAAGUCGAACGAAGCACCUUACCGGAUUCUUCGGAUGAAAGUUUGGUGACUGAGUGGCGGACGGGUGAGUAACGCGUGGGUAACCUGCCCUGUACAGGGGGAUAACAGCUGGAAACGGCUGCUAAUACCGCAUAAGCGCACGAGGAGACAUCUCCUUGUGUGAAAAACUCCGGUGGUACAGGAUGGGCCCGCGUCUGAUUAGCUGGUUGGCAGGGUAACGGCCUACCAAGGCAACGAUCAGUAGCCGGUCUGAGAGGAUGAACGGCCACAUUGGAACUGAGACACGGUCCAAACUCCUACGGGAGGCAGCAGUGGGGAAUAUUGCACAAUGGGGGAAACCCUGAUGCAGCAACGCCGCGUGAGUGAAGAAGUAUUUCGGUAUGUAAAGCUCUAUCAGCAGGGAAGAUAAUGACGGUACCUGACUAAGAAG